rnacentral:misc_RNA from 1 species
GAUGAAGAACGCAGCGAAAUGCGAUAACUAAUGUGAAUUGCAGAAUUCCGUGAAUCAUUGAGUCUUUGAACGCACAUUGCACCCUCUGGUAUUCCGGGGGGUAUGCCUGUCCGAGCGUCAUUGCUGCCCUCAAGCACGGCUUGUGUGUUGGGCCGUCGUCCCCCUCCUAGGGGACGGGCCCGAAAGGCAGCGGCGGCACCGCGUCCGGUCCUCGAGCGUAUGGGGCUUCGUCACCCGCUCCGUAGGCCCGGCCGGCGCUUGCCGACGACCAUCAAUCUCUUUCUCCAGGUUGACCUCGGAUCAGGUAGGGAUACCCGCUGAACUUAAGCAUAUCAAUAAGCGGAGGA